UGUUCAGUGGGUAGAAAGGGCAACAACACACACGAAGCAAUGGGAAGCGAUCUUGCGAGAGCAUUAUUUUGAAGGAAUCCAGGUUUCAGAAGUGAAGGAAUAGAAAUCAAAGUAAGAAAUGUUCUCAAUAUUCUUGGAACAAGCAAUUCUUCAUAUUACUACUUUUUAUGGGAAAUGCUUAGCAUUACAUGAGAAACCUAGGAUCACAGCACAGACAUGGAAGAAAUGCCCUUGCCUCCCUGUUGGCUUGGGCAGGCAGCAGCGCCACACCAGCUCCACAUGUGCCUCCACAUGGCUCCUCUCACUGACCCUGUACAUUAAAGGAGCUACAGGGCCCUCUAAAAAGUACUGGAUAUAUUUCUCCCUCUCCGA